AGAGUUUGAUCCUGGCUCAGGAUGAACGCUGGCGGCGUGCUUAACACAUGCAAGUCGAACGAUCCUUCGGGAUAGUGGCGGACGGGUGAGUAACGCGUGGGAGUCUGCCCUCAGGAGGGGGAUAACGGCUGGAAACGGCCGCUAAUACCCCAUAUGCCGAGAGGUGAAAUGAAUUUCGCCUGAGGAUGAGCCCGCGUCUGAUUAGCUAGUUGGUGGGGUAAAGGCCUACCAAGGCGACGAUCAGUAGCUGGUCUGAGAGGAUGAUCAGCCACACUGGGACUGAGACACGGCCCAGACUCCUACGGGAGGCAGCAGUGGGGAAUUUUCCGCAAUGGGCGAAAGCCUGACGGAGCAACGCCGCGUGAGGGAUGAAGGCCUCUGGGCUGUAAACCUCUUUUCUCAAGGAAGAAGAACUGACGGUACUUGAGGAAUAAGCCACGGCUAAUUCCGUGCCAGCAGCCGCGGUAAUACGGGAGUGGCAAGCGUUAUCCGGAAUUAUUGGGCGUAAAGCGUCCGCAGGCGGCCUUGUAAGUCUGUUGUUAAAGCGUGGAGCUCAACUCCAUUUAAGCAAUGGAAACUACAAGGCUGGAGUGUGGUAGGGGCAGAGGGAAUUCCCGGUGUAGCGGUGAAAUGCGUAGAUAUCGGGAAGAACACCAGUGGCGAAGGCGCUCUGCUGGGCCAUAACUGACGCUCAUGGACGAAAGCCAGGGGAGCGAAAGGGAUUAGAUACCCCUGUAGUCCUGGCCGUAAACGAUGAACACUAGGUGUCGGGGGAAUCGACCCCCUCGGUGUCGUAGCCAACGCGUUAAGUGUUCCGCCUGGGGAGUACGCACGCAAGUGUGAAACUCAAAGGAAUUGACGGGGGCCCGCACAAGCGGUGGAGUAUGUGGUUUAAUUCGAUGCAACGCGAAGAACCUUACCAGGGUUUGACAUCCUGCGAAUCCCUUGGAAACGAGGGAGUGCCUUCGGGAGCGCAGUGACAGGUGGUGCAUGGCUGUCGUCAGCUCGUGUCGUGAGAUGUUGGGUUAAGUCCCGCAACGAGCGCAACCCACGUCUUUAGUUGCCAGCAUUCAGUUGGGCACUCUAGAGAGACCGCCGGUGAUAAACCGGAGGAAGGUGUGGAUGACGUCAAGUCAUCAUGCCCCUUACAUCCUGGGCUACACACGUACUACAAUGCUACGGACAAAGGGCAGCAAGCUCGCGAGAGUUAGCAAAUCCCAUAAACCGUGGCUCAGUUCAGAUCGUAGGCUGCAACUCGCCUACGUGAAGGAGGAAUCGCUAGUAAUCGCAGGUCAGCAUACUGCGGUGAAUACGUUCCCGGGCCUUGUACACACCGCCCGUCACACCAUGGAAGUUGGCCAUGCCCGAAGUCGUUACUCCAACCC
rnacentral:rRNA from 1 species